UACGUAGGUGGCGAGCGUUGUCCGGAUUUACUGGGCGUAAAGGGAGCGUAGGCGGACUUUUAAGUGAGAUGUGAAAUACCCGGGCUCAACUUAGGUGCUGCAUUUCAAACUGGAAGUCUAGAGUGCAGGAGAGGAGAAUGGAAUUCCUAGUGUAGCGGUGAAAUGCGUAGAGAUUAGGAAGAACACCAGUGGCGAAGGCGAUUCUCUGGACUGUAACUGACGCUGAGGCUCGAAAGCGUGGGGAGCAAACAGGAUUAGAUACCCU
rnacentral:rRNA from 1 species